GCCCCUGUAGCUCAAUUGGAUUAGAGCAAGAGACUCCUAAGCUCUAGGUUGUGCGUUCGAGCCGCACCGGGGGCA
rnacentral:tRNA from 1 species